GAGCGGGCGUAGCAAUACGUCAGCGGCAGACGGGUGAGUAACGCGUGGGAACGUACCUUUUGGUUCGGAACAACACAGGGAAACUUGUGCUAAUACCGGAUAAGCCCUUACGGGGAAAGAUUCAUCGCCGAAGGAUCGGCCCGCGUCUGAUUAGCUAGUUGGUGGGGUAAUGGCCCACCAAGGCGACGAUCAGUAGCUGGUCUGAGAGGAUGAUCAGCCUCACUGGGACUGAGACACGGCCCAGACUCCUACGGGAGGCAGCAGUGGGGAAUAUUGGACAAUGGGCGCAAGCCUGAUCCAGCCAUGCCGCGUGGGUGAUGAAGGCCCUAGGGUUGUAAAGCCCUUUCGGCGGGGAAGAUAAUGACGGUACCCGCAGAAGAAGCCCCGGCUAACUUCGUG
rnacentral:rRNA from 1 species